AAGGAGACGCAGGCCAGCUGUGGUGUGGGUGUGGCUAGUGCCGGGGAACAGUCUCUGAGGUGCAGAAAGUUGGCUGUGACUCAGACAUCAUUCUGAGCUACCACUCCACACUCUGGACCCCACAGCAACCGCUGGUUGGUCCAUUGUGUUCAGGUAUUUCAACAGGAACCCUGGCAGCUCCUGAACGUCUAUGGAAAAGAGGGGAGAAGAGCACCUUCCGUUGAGAGUCCUGAUGGCCACUCGAGGCCCUGCCGAUAAUUAGUGGCAAGCUGGGACUGGCGCUCAGGUCCCCUGCCUGGGAUGCCACCACUGUCCCGGCUUCUUUAUCUGAUGAGGAAAGCAAGGACUAGAGGAGGCAGGAACCAAGGCCACACAGCAGUCAGUGGGUGGCCUUGAGACAACUCCAGAAGCUUGUCUUAAGCACCCAUUCCUGCAACCACUUGAUUAUGUCCCUCACCCCAAAACUAAGAGGACAUUCUCAUUGGAUUGUGAAGAUUUAGUGAGCCAAUGUUUAUUUUUAAAUGCCGGCCCAGAGGUGUUCAGCAAAUACUAAUUCCUUUCUUCUUUCUGUCUGGGUUCCAG
rnacentral:lncRNA from 1 species